UGAGGAAUAUUGGUCAAUGGGCGCGAGCCUGAACCAGCCAAGUAGCGUGAAGGAUGAAGGUCCUAUGGAUUGUAAACUACUUUUAUAGCAGAAUAAAGUGACCCACGUGUGGGUUUUUGUAUGUAUGCUAUGAAUAAGGAUCGGCUAACUCCGUGCCAGCAGCCGCGGUAAUACGGAGGAUCCGAGCGUUAUCCGGAUUUAUUGGGUUUAAAGGGUGCGUAGGCGGAAAGAUAAGUCAGCCUGUGAAAGUUUGCGGCUCAACCGUAAAAUUGCAGUUGAUACUGUUUUUCUUGAGUGUACAUAAGGUAGGCGUAAUUCGUGGUGUAGCGGUGAAAUGCUUAGAUAUCACGAAGAACUCCGAUUGCGAAGGCAGCUUACCGGGGUACAACUGACGCUGAUGCACGAAAGUGUGGGUAUCAAACA
rnacentral:rRNA from 1 species